UCCAGACUCCUACGGGAGGCAGCAGUGGGGAAUAUUGCACAAUGGGGGAAACCCUGAUGCAGCAACGCCGCGUGAGUGAAGAAGUAUUUCGGUAUGUAAAGCUCUAUCAGCAGGGAAGAGAAUGACGGUACCUGACUAAGAAGCCCCGGCUAACUACGUGCCAGCAGCCGCGGUAAUACGUAGGGGGCGAGCGUUAUCCGGAUUUACUGGGUGUAAAGGGAGCGUAGACGGUUCUGCAAGUCUGAAGUGAAAGCCCGUGGCUUAACCGCGGAACGGCUUUGGAAACUGUGGAACUGGAGUGCUGGAGAGGCAAGCGGAAUUCCUAGUGUAGCGGUGAAAUGCGUAGAUAUUAGGAGGAACACCAGUGGCGAAGGCGGCCUACUGGACGGUGACUGACGCUGAGGCUCGAAAGCGUGGGGAGCAAACAGGAUUAGAUACCCCCGUA
rnacentral:rRNA from 1 species